UACGUAGGGUGCGAGCGUUGUCCGGAAUUAUUGGGCGUAAAGGGCUCGUAGGCGGUUUGUCGCGUCGGGAGUGAAAAUCCAGGGCUUAACUCUGGACCGGCUUCCGAUACGGGCAGACUAGAGGUAUGCAGGGGAGAACGGAAUUCCUGGUGUAGCGGUGAAAUGCGCAGAUAUCAGGAGGAACACCGGUGGCGAAGGCGGUUCUCUGGGCAUUACCUGACGCUGAGGAGCGAAAGUGUGGGGAGCGAACAGG
rnacentral:rRNA from 1 species